rfam:Ovis aries breed Texel chromosome 17, whole genome shotgun sequence.
UCCCUGGUGGCUCAGUAGGUAAAGAAUCUGCCUCCACUGCAGGAGACCUGGGUUCAAUCCCCAGGUCGGGAA